UACAUGAUCCUACAAAAAUCUACAAAUAGAAGUUUACUUCCGCCCUAUACCUUCGCCCUAUACAACAAGAUAGUCUUCGAUUUAUGGCUGCUGUCCUACUAGAUGGGACUUUCCAGUCUUCUAAAAAUUGCAUGGCUUAUGGGUUCGCCACGGCUCCUUUGUCCGACUCACUAAACAUAGGGGAAUUUUUUAAUUUCAAUGGUACCCAAAUGAAUCUGCUAAGACAGAUGCAGUAGUUCCUCGCGCAGAACCAGAUCGAUAUCCGAGCCCUUGGCCAGUUAAACUCAACGGCAUUACAAGACAUUUUCGGAGAUCUAAAGCGCGGAGAGUUCUUAACAAAAGUAGUAACUGACGAAGUGUACUGAAGUAUGAUUGCAUCAAGUUUCCUGCUAAAACGGAAUGUUUGUAUCAGUCGACUUAUUUCCCUUAACAAUCAGAGUAAUCUAUGUUAUUAUUAAAGCAUUAUUGCUACCUCUACUACUACUACUGGAAUAUUUCAAGAACACUGCAAGGCCCUACUGGACUGGAAGGUCGUCUCUUAAGACGCGCUAUCGAGAGUUCGCGUCACCGUGGCCUAUUUUGACAGGCAGUUCCGCAACAGCGUUUCACAAAUCAGCGAUCAUACGCACGACACAAUUACCCGUUUCGGUAGCCAAUUUUCCACGACCGUUAGCAAUAGCGGCAUAUGGACUGUACAACAGGAUGCUCAGAAAGCUCCUCGGAGAACAAUUCUAGUAAACACGAGAAUCGGAUAAUCGUGACUUACUGAAAUCCUGCCACAGAAGAAGUAAUUUUUCUUGUGCGGUUUGAGUGCUCCCAUUAUUUUGUCAUUUCGAAAGGGUAACUUCUUUACACAGAAAUUGACAUAGCAACAUAUUUGCAAGUAUACGUCAAUUCGAAUGUGUGGUAAUUUUGCUAUUUACGUUGAAACUAUAGGCAUGGAUUUUGAGCGGUGUACGACAUUAUAUUUUAAACCCAGUUUCUGUCUUCUCGAAUUGAAGCAUUAAUGUGGCUUCACUAGCAAAGUUGAAAAAUGUAAGUCCAACUAGGAUAUUUUAAAAGACCCGCCAUUGAAGCGAAAGGGUUUCAUCAAGCUCCAACCUUAAAAGCAAUGCAUCUCCAAUAAUACUGCGUCUAUAGAAAACUUAACUAUUACAAA